rnacentral:rRNA from 1 species
GGUAAAAAAAUGGACGUUUCACACCGCUUCAAGGUUCAACGACGGUAAUUGCCGCCCCACAGCGCAGAAGCGAAAGUGUAGGUUGGCUUUGGUUUUCCCGCGAAAAAGAGAUCAGUGAACGUCGAGGCUCCGUAGGGGAGAUCGGGAGAGAGAGAGAGAGAGAGGGGGGUAAGGGUUCUUAGGUAGGUAGGGCCGUUAGCGCCCGUCGACGCCGUGCCCUCGCGGCUCGCCGUCUAGCUCAGCGGCGGGCAGAGAGGAGGCAACCGGGUCCAGUUGUGCGCUCGCCGACAACGAAGCUAAAUCUCGCUCCUCUGGAGCAGCAAAAGGUGGCCGCCAACAACCACCACGCCAAGAACCAAGGCCGCGCGACGGCACGACUCUAGCCGCGCCACAGGGACCUCAAGGAACACGCCGACCCCCUCAUCGAUGUUCUCGACGGAGGCAAAAGAACGUAAGGGACGACGACAACGCCACCCUAAGAAGGAGAAUGGACGGCACGAGCUCGAACGGCGCAGCAGAACGAAACCAGUUCUGUUCCGCACGCCGCCGUCUCAACUCGCCCGUUUCUUUUCUCUCUUCGAAUUCGACUCCAGUUCAUCUUCACGUCGAGAGGCCAUUGUGGAAAACGACAAUCGUCUACCUACGUACACUAACAUAGCUUGGUGAAACCGUCCGGCUACUAGAGGAACACUUCAUAGUCAUGUAUAGACUGAAAAAAUAGCGUGAACGUAUGAAGAGCUAGGGAAACCUCGAGUAUAUGAAACAGUUCUUCAGUAGUAAGAAGGGAAUGGCUACCCACGAGUAUGUCAAACCGCGGAAGUAACACGAAACACCCCGUUGAGUGGACUAUUUGAACACCUGAAAGCGGUGAAUAUCGUUCUGAUAUCGCCACCAUUACUGUCACCGCUUUCGACGCUGUCGUCACCAAAGUACGUAUUGCCGUAACUACGAACACGUGUAUUAAGGACUAGACAACUCACACUUCAACGCUCUCUCCAUAGACUUCCUAUUCCGACUUCUCGAACUGUUUCUCUACCCCUAAUAUUCUUGUGUCCUCCUCUGUCCGUCUGUACAGGUGUACGAGUGUGUACUCUAUUCCUCGUGGGAACUGUCCGUGUGAUAAAACUCUUGAUGCGAACAACUCAACCCUUCCUGAGAACCCAAUCGACUUACACGGGACACCUACGGUAGGGCGAGACCUUGUCGGGAAGUGGACAGGGUAUGUUAGGUAUUGUCGCGAGGAUAACCGAAUCAACAAGGAUAGUUAGAAGGUCAACAAAGUUUCCAAAAAUUAUCAUUAGCACGUCUUUCGUAAGGUGUAUGAAGGGGUAACCGAAGUUAUUUCCGUCUGUGUUCGUCCAUACACGGUGGUCUCCAGCAUCGACAGGCUCAAGGUGACGACGUGGAAUGUUUAAAGCUUUAUUUACUAACCGGACUCGAUAGACGUUUUUCGAAGCGUCAUUACCAAAACUACGACGGAGGUCUGUCACGUUCUUUUACCGCAUGGGUACUUAACCUCGAACAACUUCAACAACGACUAGUCCACCGUCAACGUGACAGAGUACGACGGUAAAACCUUCUCAGGUACUCCCGGGCACUAGAUGAUUACCUCGUCUUAUAACGGGAUCUACGUCGUGCAGCUCUCCGCCUUUACCGAUAUACACGAGCAUUACUAAAAGAACGACACUACUUGGUACUUUACGCAUGAGGAUACUUUCGGUAACAAAGAAAUAGGAGGGAGGAAGACCUUUGUUGAGAAUGCCGACUUGUUGCGGACUACUAACUCUGAUAUGAUUUCUCAUCGCUAAAAGAACAUUGAAACUGGUUGCUACAAAACCUAUAAAGGUUCGAACCCUUACCCUCAGAACUCGACCUAUAACGUGGAAAGUUGGACGUACGACGGAAAUGUCUACACCAAUUAAACUAAUUCGGUCACCGACGUACGUUUUCCGAGAGCCAUUACCAAAGGAACCGAGGUCUCAACGGAAGGACACGUUAACCACUAGCGUUCGCUAACUACGUCUAUUACGAUUUACAACGACCGUUGAGGUAAUUCAAGUGUUUCCUCCCAGUGUAAAGUUAACGUCGAAGGUAUCGGUCCGGUCUAAGUGACUCCCUGGGCAUACGAAGAUUGAAUGUAGGUCAAGGGAGACUACCCAGAAAGAUGAACCAACAAGUCCAUUUUCUGUGGCCGACACCUUAACCUGGUCUCCUAUACCGAGUGUGGAAGUCUUUUAAGCGUGUGCCACUCUUACGUUGUUGCUUUAACGUGUUGCCGUUGCCGAACCCAGACCGGGAGAGGUCUUCUAAACAACCGGACUACGUUCCCCUGUAGACCGAGCUUUCACUUCCACAUCCCUUCCCUACAUGGCGGUGCAAGAAACACUUUGAGCCGUGCGGGUUCUUCUUUGGUUUGCGUUUGCGUUUAGGGGCCUCUUACUACCGCGGAGACGUUGGUUCGUUGCCUCGACCUCCGGUGCCGCGACUACGAGAGUCAUAUAGCUAUUACCUGCCGCUACGCGCCCGAGGAUCCCGGGCGAUGGUCAGUUAACGCACUCUCCGUCUGCUGCGCCCGUUCGAGCUGACCGCCCUCCGCCCAGCGUCCGGGCCAAAACACUGGCUUUAACCAUGCGAGGUAAGCUUCCCACCCACAAACCGACGACAUCCCUAUCAAAAGGAUGACUCAACUCAACACUACCACUGAUCCAGUCAGACUCUACCACUGAACGGGAAUAACCGCCGUACCACCUCCUCUCGUCACAACACAACAUGUACUCCCAGAACAAUCCCUCCGUUUUCGACUAUGAUGUAUGUCUGUAAUCCGUGACGCCGCUCUAGGACACUUCUCAGUCACUCGACGUCCACAUUAAGUACUUGUACUUGAACUUUCGUAAGUAGCCUACUUACUGCAUACCGCACAGUGUGUCUACUAACGCCAAACAUGACCAACGUAAAAGCGCCGAUUAUUAAGUUGCCCCUGCGAUCC